ensembl:lncRNA
AUUUCUUCAAAUGGCAGAUUCUACAAGGGGAAGUUGUGAGCAUGUCUUGACCUGAUGGCUAUUACUAUUCUGAUUGAUUUAAGAUUCAAAAACGGUAUUAGUCCAUUGAUCAUACUUGCAGUGAAAUGCUGUUUUGCAGACACCGCAGACUAAAAACUAGAAAGAAAGAUGUACAUCAGGGGGAAGCUGCUGUUUGCCGACCACGUCUCAAACUGCUCCCGCGGCUCCAUCAGGAGCCUCCACCGGCAGAUCUCCACCAGCAGAAGGGACUUCAGGCUGGGCUUGAGUCUCCCUGCAGACCACAAGAUCAGAAUCCAGCUUACGCGUGGAGGUCUGUGGCCGGUCUCCUCGUUCACCCGGCGGUCUCUCCUUUCACAGUGCUAAGCUGAAGGGCUCCGUGGCCGCAGACUCGCUGUCCACUCUCGAGUCCUGGCCGAUAUCGACCUCCCUCGACCGCAGCGAAACGCGUCUGAGGCACACGGCGACUCAAGAUCCGAUCUUCUGAGAAGCCAUCAAGAUCAGAGGACACCCCAACAGGACGGGAGAACGAUAAAACACAGUCCUGUUGCCCAUCCUACUCCUCUUGUCAGACACUAAACAUCUCCAGCCAUGUCUACUGUACCACAUGACCUAAUAAUAAACUGGUGUGCUACAUCUGUCAGUCAGGGCAGAGUGUGUGACUUUGUGUUGAGGAUGUGGAAUUGUGAGCCAUCAAAUCAUUGGUUAUUUCCUGUGCAAUAAAAGGAAACUAUGUUGAAAUCGCGAUUAUAACAUCACGAACUAUCACGCAAUUGCUCAACCAGGUGAUGUCACACACUGAUGUAGGUCUAGCUGGAAAAUGUAUAUUAAGACCAGGUCAUGCAUUAUGCAUUAAGUUUGAUAUCUUUGCAAUCACGACUUUGUUCUAUGACUUCUUAGAUUGUCUAUUUUAUUAUAGCCUUUUUUUGAUGCAAUACAAUUUCAAUAAAAAAACAUAAC